rnacentral:snoRNA from 1 species
AAAUCUGAUGAUGAUGACGUGAUUGGCAAUAUCCUCAAUGGACUUGGUCCAUAUUAUAAUCCUUUUAUCUCCGCCAUGUAUGUGAAGGACAAUCUAUCUCUGAGCUAUCUCUAUGGUCAACUUCUGUCCUAU